CGUUAGUGCAUUGAGAGGACCUUUCCCUAGUACAAGAGGACCGGGAAUGACGCACCUCUGGUGUACCAGUUAUCGUGCCCACGGUAAACGCUGGGUAGCCAAGUGCGGAGCGGAUAACUGCUGAAAUCAUCGAAGUAGGAAGCCCACCUCAAGAUGAGUUCUCUCCUAUUCUUCUUCUCUUGAAGCAGUCUUUGGGUAAUAAACAUACUCAAGACACUGUGAAGUCGUUGCAAGAAAUGGAACUACAAAAGUCUUGAGAAUCCAAGAUAAUGUCGCGGCAAGACUAGCCGUUUAUUUUUACGAUAGGUGCCAAGUGGAAGUGCAGUAAUGUAUGUAGCUGAGGCAUCCUAACAGACCGA
rnacentral:ncRNA from 1 species